CUGCAUCUCCAAAUAAUGUAGCUGACUAGGUGUACAUUCUUUUCCUGAAAAACAUCUCAUCUAUCAGGUAGCAGGGACAAUAUUUUCAAGCAUCAGGAGGCAAAAUUAAUAUAUAUGAUGAUGACAUCUAAAGACAAUAUGGGAGUUGAGUCCUUUGUGGAUCUUUGUCUGUAUACUCCGUCAUUUAUGGUACUUAAAUUGUUAACUAAGAUCAAUGUUUUUUACUUGGUCUGCACAUCACUAAUAACAGCAAUCCUUCAAGUAAUGAGGUAUACCUAAGAUGAUUCUGCAUCAUAAUACUAUAUGUUUCAAGUUUGGAACUUGUAGACAGUAACUUCACCAUUUGAUGCCUGUUUUUUAAUGUAGGCUGAUAAUUUAAAGCAAACAGGGCUCAUAUAUGUUACGUUGAUUAAAAAUAGGUCGAGUUUGGCAGAUGACGCAAGAAGGAUGUUGUCCUGUCUAAGGAUUUAAAUCUUGAUCCAAUACCAGCCAGUUUGGGUAAUCUACUAGACUGAUAUGGUAUCGGUAUACCUGAUAGGAUACCCAAAAAUAUAUGGUAUCAGUCAGUAAAUACUGGAGGAUAUGCCCCAUCCCAACCAAUAUUUGAGAGUUGAAACCAUGGUCUCGGCCAUGGUACAAAUUCUUUGUUUUGACACUAGAAUGGAGGUCAAUAUGGUUAAUGGCUUAUGCUGUAGAAAAGUAUGAUGUUUUGUCAAUUGAGAAUGUAGAUUUUGGAUUGGCUGUCUGGUCUUUUGCAUAUAUGAUAUUGCUGUAAUGACUUGUUUAUUGGCAUUUAUAGGGUGGAUACAGGGGAUUCUAUGCUCGCAACACCAUACAGUUGACACCAAAGAGUGUAAAUGAUAUUCAUAAACGUGGCGGCACAAUCCUCAGCACAUCACGAGGAGGUCAUGAUACCUUGAAGAUAGUUGACAACAUUCAGGAUCGUGGGAUAAAUCAGGUAAAAGAAUGUGUUGCUUUGUAUUGUGAAUUCUAUUUGUUUUCUGCAAGUUCAACCAAUAUUAGUUUUUAGAUUGAUUUAUGAAGAAAUAUUCACACUCCAGGUUUACAUCAUAGGAGGAGAUGGAACCCAAAAAGGAGCUGCUGCUAUUUUUGAGGUAUAACCCAAAAACUUGCUCCACACAAGUUUAAUGUCACCUAUCUGUUAAUGCUAUCUGACAACACAUGAAGAUAUUUACUUUUCAUGAUGGAAAUUUACGGAGGCAACUUUAUCCAUAGUCGUCCAGGGUAAAUUACUAUUUGCUCCCUCCCUUGCUUUCGCUGAUGAUACCACUUCUGAUGCAAACUUGGAUUUCCAUUUCUACUCUUCCUCCAAAGCUCUUCCUUUCUAGUGCUUGAAGAACUAAUACAAUCUACCUUCUCAUUUUAGAAUUUUAUUCGAUCUUGUCUUAGGGAAUUAAGAUCUCCAUUUCUGGAAUGUUAGAAGAUGAUAAGCUAUCUGACAAGUUCUACUUGAUUGUAACUUGCAGGAAAUCCGAAGGCGUCGCCUUAAAGUUGCUGUUGCUGGGAUCCCUAAGACAAUAGAUAAUGACAUUGCGGUACAGCAUUUGUUGUAAACUUCAAUGAGCUUCUUUGUCUUGUUAACCACUUUAUGAUUGUUACAUUUGAAGUGGUGAUUUAGGUUAUUGACAAGUCCUUCGGCUUUGAUACUGCUGUCGAAGAAGCCCAGCGGGCAAUUAAUGCUGCACAUGUGGAGGCUGAGAGUGUUGAGAAUGGUAUAGGCGUAGUGAAACUAAUGGGUCGCUACAGUGGUAUAGCUCUUUUCUUGGUAAAAAUAACAUCCGAUAGUGAUAUGUGAUAUAAUUUAUUCUUAAAUUGUUGGACCUUAUGGGAUGAUUAACAUGAAAAAUAAAGAUUGUAGAUACUCAACUCUAUUUAAUAGAUAACCUAAUUAGAGAUCUACUAGAGGCACUAUCUCUUCAUGUUGACAUUUGAUUAAUCUGGCUCCAUGUCUCAAACGUUUGCCAAAUAUGUGCAUGCCGGCAAAGUUUUCUCCAGAACAGAAAACAGCCAUGAAAACUUUAAUAUGAUUCAAAAUACGGUCUCAGCUAACAUGAACUGUUGAAUUUUAUGUAGACUUGGAUUAUGUUGAUUAAUUUAAGACUUCAUUGUACAAUGUGCAUUAUAAGCCUAAAAUAUUUAAUGAUGCAGGGUUCAUUGCAAUGUAUGCUACUCUAGCGAGCCGAGAUGUCGUAAGCAUCGUACUUAAGUUUUUUUGUAUUAGUUUAUUGUAGAUGCUUUUAUCCACUGGCUGAGGCAUUUGGUUUUGGAAUUUCAGCUAUGGAAUGAUUUAAGAAAUGACAUGUCAUUUGCCUUUCUGGUGCUUCUUUUUUCUUUCGUUUAGGACUGUUGCUUAAUUCCAGAAUCACGAUUUUAUCUGGAAGGAAAAGGUGGUCUUUAUGAAUACAUAGAGAAGAGGCUUAAAGAAAAUGGACACAUGGUAAUUGUUGUUGCCGAGGGAGCAGGACAAGAUCUUAUUGCUGAAAGUAUGAAGUCAAUGGACCACGAAGAUGCUUCUGGAAACAAGCUGCUUCUGGAUGUUGGGCUUUGGUUGUCCCAGGGAAUAAAGGUGAAUUUUCAUAUUCAGAUCAAUUUCCUUGUCGAUUUAUUGCUUGUUCAAUACGGAUAUUGCUAGAUUGGACUUAAUCACCUAGCAGCAAAUGAUUCAGUAUGAUUCAUCUGCAGCUAUUUGAAGAACAAAUUAUCCAUAUGUCCACCAUACUAAUUGUUUUCCCUCUUUUUUUUUUUCCUUUCUACCAUACAGAAUUACUUCACAAGCAGACAAAAGAUGACAAUAAAUCUUAAAUAUAUAGGUAUGUUGGCAGACUUGACCCAAUCAGAUCCUCUUUAAAUUGUUAGACGUAAAUGUUUGUAUUUUGAAAUGCAGAUCCGACAUAUAUGAUUCGUGCAAUUCCAAGCAAUGCAUCUGAUAACGUCUAUUGCACGCUUCUGGCACAAAGUGCAGUCCAUGGGGCAAUGGCUGGAUACACAGGUUUCACUGUGGGGCUAGUUAAUGGCAGACAGACUUACAUACCAUUUGACGUAAGUAUUAUAACUAUGUGAUCAAAGCUCACUUGCUGAAAUCAGGGUUUCCGGUCAAUUCUAUAUUGAGGACUGGAAAUUUCACCUUAAUUUAAUGUCAAAUUCCAUGGAGAAAUUUUUUGUGCAAAUCAUUUAUCUUAAUGAAUAAUAAAGCAUUACUUUUGACAUCCUUAGUUAAUUUGAAAAUCUAAGUCAAGGUAAAAUCAUGUUCUGAUUGCAUAAUCUUCACUGUGACUAUCAAAUCCAGUUGUUCUUUCAUUUCCAAUGUGGAAUUACUUGUUUGCCUAUGCAUAAUCUGAGGAGCUUCUAGAGUAAUGUAAAUUGAAGAAACCGAAUUUGUCUUCCAAAUUACAUUCAAGCAAUAUACGAUAUUUACAAUUAUGAGACUAGAAGAAUAAAUUUCAGAGGCUAGUGGUCUUGAGGUCUACUUUAUAUCCUUACAUUCUUUACGAAUACGUUAGUGUAUGAGAUAUUUUCUGAUUUGUUAUAUUGGUCUAGUGCAUUUAGAGAAAGUUAUGUGAUCUUUUUGACUGUCAUUAGAAGAAUUAUAUUGGGAGUUGAUUUAUAUUAUCAGUACAAGCCACACUGCAUAUGCAUGUUCAUGUAUGACCCAUAUGCACAAAUGCACCUUGAUUAUCUAGCUAAAGUGAAGAUUUUAUUUUGUUCAUAAAAGAAUGAUGUACAUAUUUUUGUAUAGUUGAAAUCUUUUAUGUGAUUUUGGAGAUUUGAAAAUCGUAUGCCAAAUGUACUUUAGAAGAGAAAUUAAAAACAUCAUAAGAAUCUCUAAUCAAUUGCUGAUAUUGGCAUUAGCUUCUCAUUUGUUGAUAAAAUCUUUCUACAACUGCAGAGGGUGACAGAAAAACGAAAUAAGGUCGUCAUCACUGACAGAAUGUGGGCAAGGCUGCUGUCAUCAACCAAUCAGCCAAGCUUUUUGAGUUCGAAAGAUGUCGAGGAGGCAAAUAUAAGAGAGGAGCAACCCAAACAGACAUCUGGCGAGGUAAAAUGCUUGGAAAAUGGUUCUAGUUAAUAUGAAGGUUAUUUAAUAGCGUCGGCAAACCAUUAUCUUGUGCUUACAUUGUUGACAGCGUGUGCCAGCAUAAUUAAGUGAUAUAUUGUCUUCCAGUGGAGAAGCAACAAAUCUUUACGCUGUGUGCAUUUAUCAAAUAAGUGCAUCUAGAUCAUGAUCAGUAUGAACUUAGCACCAAAUAAUCUAUGGAAUCAUGUAGCAAUGUAACGUACAACCAUGGUGAUUUUGAAGUGGUUUAAUUAUCACAAAUCUAUUGGCAAAAGUCUUCUCAAGUUUCUUUGGGUAGACAGUCAAAUAGCAUAGCCUUUCUACUUGUUCUCCAAUUAUUGUUGCUAGCAUUCCCCAAGUUGUUUAUCUACAGGAAAAUUUGGAUAGAGAUCUACAUGCAUGCUUCCUCUUCUUUACUUGCGCAAGAUACACCUUGGCAUUACAUACUCUGACAUCAAAUAGUAGCAAACGGAUAAUAUUCCUUGAAAGAGAGUGAAUGUGGACUAUGAAACAGACCAAAUGAACGGUAGAAUAAAUAAAAUUUGUUUACCACAGAGAGGUAGUGUUUCCAUUAAGUAAACACUGGCUUCUAUUAUAUAAAGCAUGUCAAAACACCUUAAAAUAAAUAACUUGAAACUUACAAAAAGUUGUUGGCCAAAGGAUAUAAAAGCUCGCUCACCUUGUCAUUGCAGUUCCCAUAGAUGUUAGUGUGACUUUUUCUUGCUCGAUGGAUGCGUCUUCAAGCUAAAUUCUUGGCUGCAGGUAAAUAUGAAAUACCCAGAAACAAAGGAUUCCUACAGACAGAAGCUAGAAUUUUUGUUAUUUUCUUUCCCAUAGGAAGAAGAUGAUUUUUUUUUUUGUGUGUGCUAGAAAGCCAACUCCUACGUGUUUCUUUAAGCAUCGAAAUCAAUGUAAUCUCAUGCCUCCUACUGGAAGAUGAAGCCUUUUUUUUUAACUAGAAAGGGGACUCAAAAGUGUAGUGUUUCUUCAAGCAUCAAAACCAGUGUAAAUCUGAUUCCUACCUAAAAGAGGGUCAGUAUGCUGAAACAACGAAACAUUCUAAUCUGAGUAGCCGCAGGGACUCGGGUUAGUUUCAGAGACAGUAUCAGAAACCCUAAUCGGAGAGUUAGGGAUCGAUGGAAGAUCCUGGUUCGCCCCCAAAUCGGGGGGACAAUAUUGCUCGCGAAACGUGAUGGAUUUACUUGAGAGAAAGAGAAGGAAUGAAAGCGUACCAUUGAGAUCGAUAGCCGAGAGCGACAGAGAGUAUCGAGAGAUCACGUUGAAUAGAAUGCGAAUGGAGAUCGGAAUUCUUUCAAAUUCGUGAGGUCCGAAGCCCCUUUU
rnacentral:lncRNA from 1 species